GUUACAUGUCAACAGCGAAAGGUGUGAGUGGCUUGAAGUGUGAGCAGUCUCUGCAGUGCUGGAAGGAUUUCCGACAUUGUUAUUCAAUGUUCUUUCCAAGCAUUCCUCAAAGAGAAGAGGCCUGAGAGUUCCUAUUUAAAGAAAGAACAUUCCAAGUUAUAACCCCUUGCAAUAUGCACUGUGUGUGAAGACAGCAGAGCAUAGGGACCUUGGAGAUCAUUCAGCGGAAACAUGAGACCACCCCCUUCAGAGUAUACAAGGUGGAAGACAGCGCCGAUGGGAUGGGGUGUGGCUUCCUGCUCUGAUAACCUCAAGGUAAGAAAGAAAGGAACAGGACUGGGCUCAGGGGGUAAAGUGAUUGCUGCUCCAGCAUCU
ensembl:processed_transcript predicted gene 15270